GCUACCUCGCUUCCGGGUUUUCGACAUCAUAGUUUCACCACUCACUGUCAUUACAGGAAACAAUCUCAGUGAUAAUUGAAGCAUGGAAUGCAGAGUCCUCCAAUGAUCAGCCAACAGAGAAUCUGAACAAUAUGAUUGGCCACUUCGCCAC